CCGCGCUAGGCGGGGAGUUAGCGGUGCCCUAUACCUGCAAUCCGCUACAGCAGGGUACAAUCCCCGUUUUGAGGCUUGAGCUUGUGGGGUCUGGGAUCGGCAAGGAGCGUUGAUCGCCGGGUCCUGUGCAAUCGGCAUCUGUGAACCAUGUCAGGUCCUGACGGAAGCAGCAUUAAGCGGAGCAGCCGAUGUGCCGCGGGUUUGCCUGGCAGGAGCCGCCUGCCGUAUAUUCCGCCCGGAAGCGCAUUGCCGAGAAACGGGUGCGCGG
rnacentral:SRP_RNA from 1 species